UUUCUCAGGGUUAGAGUGUCUUGCCAGCAUGACAAGGAGCAAGGCAUCAGGCAAGCAGGCAUAGUACUGGAGCAGUAGCUGAGAGCUUACAUCUUACCUAUAAGCAAGAGGCAGAGAGACGUUAGGAAUGGCAUAGGCUUUUGAAACUUCAAUUUCCUGCACCCAGUAACGUACAUCUUCCAGCGAGGCCACCCCUCCUAGUCCUUUCCAAACAGUUUCAACCAUUCAGAACCAAGCAUUCAACUGUAUGGGUCUGUGGGGGUCAUCCUCAUUCAAAACACCAGAAGAUAGAGUCCCCAGCAUCCAACUUUGACAAGGUAUGGGCUCUUGUCAUGCAGAGAAGCUCAUCAAAAACUCAGUAUCCAAAGUAUUUACUGGCAGCUGAUCCUAUAAGUACCCAGUGUCUGCACAUACUGUAAAGACUCUGGAAUGAAAGCAUGCAUCACCAUAAACCACACUGUAGGGCAGCUAAAGCACCAAGAACCAUUCUCAUCAGUUACAGGAUGGAGGGAACUUUCCUAAAUCAACCAAGGACCAACUCUACAAGGAGGCCUUUGCAUGGGAGCAGCAUCAGGCCUGUUCAUGCUUCACUCUCAAGCCCUACAUCCGGUUCUGAUCUCUCCCCGGUUUCUUUACUUGGAACUCCAGAAGACUUCAGCUCUCACCUGAAUAAAAUACUUCAACAACC
rnacentral:lncRNA from 1 species